rnacentral:pre_miRNA from 1 species
UCGCGGUUUGUGCCAAAUGGCGAUUUGAAUUAAUAAAUUCAUUUGGUACAAACCGCGAUU